CCUACGGGAGGCAGCAGUGGGGAAUUUUGGACAAUGGGCGCAAGCCUGAUCCAGCCAUGCCGCGUGCGGGAAGAAGGCCUUCGGGUUGUAAACCGCUUUUGUCAGGGAAGAAACGCUUUGGGAUAAUACCCUGAGGUAAUGACGGUACCUGAAGAAUAAGCACCGGCUAACUACGUGCCAGCAGCCGCGGUAAUACGUAGGGUGCAAGCGUUAAUCGGAAUUACUGGGCGUAAAGCGUGCGCAGGCGGUUCUAUAAGACAGAUGUGAAAUCCCCGGGCCGUCAACCUGGGAACGUGCAUUUGUGACUGUAGAGCUUGAGUGCGGCANAGGGGGAGUGGAAUUCCGCGUGUAGCAGUGAAAUGCGUAGAUAUGCGGAGGAACACCGAUGGCGAAGGCAAUCCCCUGGGCCUGCACUGACGCUCAUGCACGAAAGCGUGGGGAGCAAACAGGAUUAGAUACCCUGGUAGUCCACGCCCUAAACCGAUGUCAACUGGUUGUUGGGAAGGUUCCUUCUCAGUAACGUAGCUAACGCGUGAAGUUGACCGCCUGGGGAGUACGCCGCAAGGUUGAAACUCAAGAGUAUCGGCGNGNGAGAGNGACGACGACGACGACGGAGGAGGAG
rnacentral:rRNA from 1 species